CCUUUGAGAGCAGGCGGCUUGCCCCAGAUCGCGGAGGGAGCCCUCAGCUCUCGGGGACCCAUCCGACUGACCUACAGAUGGCAUCCUUAUCUGCGGAGUAACGACACCUCUGAGAAAUCAUUAACUCUGUUUUGAUAGGAAGAACAAAAGGCGUGAGGCCUAGGGGAAAUGUGUAGCUCAGAGAAGUGAUACCAAGACCCGGUGUAGAAGACUUAGAAAAUUCAGAGACGCAGCCCUCGGUCAAGUACGGUGGCGCGGAGAGAUCUAAGUGGGCUCCUGGGCGCGAGCUGAGCCACCGAACAACGGUCUUGCUGCUCACCCCCUCAGCGACAACGUCGCCGCCGGGCACAGAGUGAGAUCCAGAGAAACACGCGUUCUAGUGGAAACAGACUUUCCGAAUGGGUUUCCGGCCAUCACCACGGUUUCGCAUUAGGUUCUCCACCUGGAUCCUUUGUGCUCCCCUCCUCCUUUAUGUAACCGUCAGUAGAAUAUUCCAGCGAAACAAACAGAUAAAGUGAAGGACAGUAACUUCCCAGAGGCCACUCCGCUGGGAAGUUGCUCGGCCAGGAUUCGGGCACCCGCACCACUCUGCUGUGUGGCCAAGGGCUUUGUGAAGAUGAAUACGUCGUCCGUCACAUCAGCUAGUUGACCACGUGUCCUCCAAGGUCCCCACGAGCCCCGCAAGUGUCCGUGAUGCUCAGUGGCUCACUAGCGUGCGUGCAGAAGAGGAAUUCUCCAUGCUGGCUCUGUUCACGCCCCGGGAACUUUCGCCAGCGGACGAGGGCAGAAACCACUGCCGGCGGGAGAAACCCAACAGGACUCAUCUUCAUGGAUAAGUCAUUCAUGGAGCUCUACUGUGUUGGACGGUCAGGGUCUCUUCCCCUAGGUCGUCAUUCACAUACUAGAUGACAAUUCUUGUGUCAGAUGGAGCCCCGAAAGCUUCUGGAACCCGCUGGUUCCUGGGCUGUGCAACGAAAUUAAAGUUAAGCCCUUCUGCA